rnacentral:rRNA from 1 species
GAUGAACGCUGGCGGCGUGCCUAAUACAUGCAAGUCGAGCGAACAGACGAGGCGCUUGCUCCUCUGACGUUAGCGGCGGACGGGUGAGUAACACGUGGAUAACCUACCUAUAAGACUGGGAUAACUUCGGGAAACCGGAGCUAAUCCCGGAUAAUAUAUUGAACCGCAUGGUUCAAUAGUGAAAGACGGUUUUGCUGUCACUUCUAGAUGGAUCCGCGCCGCAUUAGCUAGUUGGUAAGGUAAAGGCUUACCAAGGGAACGAUGCGUAGCCGACCGGAUAGGGUGAUCGGCCACCCUGGAACUGAGACACGGUCCAUGCUCCUACGGGAGGCAGCAGUAGGCAACCUUCCGCAAUGGGCGAAAGCAUGACGGAGCAACGCCGCGUGAGUGAUGAAGGUCUUCGGAUCGUAAAACUCUGUUAUUAGGGAAGAACAAAUGUGUAAGUAACUAUGCACGUCUUGACGGUACCUAAUCAGAAAGCCCCGGCUAACUACGUG